UUCCAGCUCCAAUAGCGUAUAUUAAAGUUGUUGCAGUUAAAAAAGCUCGUAGUUGAACUUCAAGUCUGGCCGGGCGGUCCGCCUAACGGUGUGUACGGUCUGGCUGGAUUUUACCUCUUGGUGAGCCGGCAUGCCCUUUACUGGGUGUGUCGGGGGAACCAGGACUUUUUUACCUUGAGAAAAUUAGAGUGUUCAAAGCAGGCCUAUGCCUGAAUACGUUAGCAUGGAAUAAUAAGAUAGGACGUGCGGUUCUAUUUUGUUGGUUUCUAGAGUCGCCGUAAUGAUUAAUAGGGAUAGUUGGGGGGCAUUCGUAUUCCGUUGCUAGAGGUGAAAUUCUUGGAUUUACGGAGGACGAACUUCUGCGAAAGCAUUUGCCAAGGA
rnacentral:rRNA from 1 species